rnacentral:rRNA from 1 species
ACCCCGAACAGGGGAGUGAAAUAGAACCUGAAACCAUACGCUUACAACCGGUCGGAGCAGCUUCGUGCUGUGACGGCGUGCCUAUUGAAUAAUGAGCCUACGAGUUACUAAUCACUAGCGAGGUUAAGUGCAAGGAUGCACGGAGCCGAAGCGAAAGCGAGUCUGAACAGGGCGUUUAGUUAGUGGUUGUAGACGCGAAACCUUGCGAUCUACCCUUGAGCAGGUUGAAGGUUGGGUAAAACCAACUGGAGGACCGAACGAAUAAGCGUUGAAAAGCUUCUCGAUGACUUGAGGGUAGGGGUGAAAGGCUAAUCAAGCUGGGAAAUAGCUCGUACUCCCCGAAAUGCCUUUUGGGGCAGCGUUGUAAUAAAGAGUCUACUGGAGGUAGAGCUACUGAUUGGAUGCGGGGGCUUCACCGCCUACCAAAUCCUGACAAACUCCGAAUGCCAGUAGUAUGAUUUACAGCAGUGAGUGACUGGGUGCUAAUGUCCAGUCGCAAAAGAGGAACAACUCAGACCAGCAACUAAGGUCCCGAAGAAUAUGCUAAGUUGAUCUAACGAUGUUUUGUUGCAGAGACAGCUAGGAUGUUAGCUUGGAAGCAGCUAUUCAUUCAAAGAGUGCGUAACAGCUCACUAGUCGAGCGACAGAGCGUGGAUAAUAAACGGGCAUCAAGCAUAUCACCGAAGUUCUGGGCGCGAGAGCGCGGUAGGGGAGCAUUCCAUUCAGCGUCGAAGCAGUUUCGUGAGGAAUUGUGGAGCGUAUGGAAAAGCAAAUGUAGGCAUGAGUAACGAUAAUGCGGGAGAGUAACCCGCACACCGCAAGACCAAGGUUUCCUGAUCAACGCUAAUCGGAUCAGGGUUAGUCGGGUCCUAAGGGUAAGCCGAACGGCGAUCUCGAUGGAUAAUCGGUUAAUAUUCCGAUACUAACAUAUACCUCGAUGGAGAGACGAAGGAACGUAAGUGCCGCCACCUGACGGAAUAGGUGGUUAAAGGGCGUAGGUAUAGGGGCAGAUUAAGAGUUAGUCCUUGCUGAAACCUGACAGUACAGAGAGCCUACGGGCAAUUUGAUAGAGCACCCAAGUCGACUUCCGAGAAAAUCUUCUAAGUUAUAGUAUAUGUUACCCGUACCGUAAACCGACACAGGUGGUCGAGGAGAGUAUCCUAAGGUGCUCGAGUGAAUCACGGUUAAGGAACUAGGCAAAUUAACCCCGUAACUUCGGGAAAAGGGGUCCCUAUGAAAGUAGGGCGCAGCGAAGAGGUCCAGGCGACUGUUUAUCAAAAACACAGGGCUCUGCAAAUUCGAAAGAAGACGUAUAGGGCCUGACACCUGCCCGGUGCUGGAAGGUUAAGAGGGGAUGUCAUCGCAAGAGAAGCAUUGAAUCGAAGCCCCAGUAAACGGCGGCCGUAACUAUAACGGUCCUAAGGUAGCGAAAUUCCUUGUCGGGUAAGUUCCGACCUGCACGAAUGGUGUAACGAUCUGGACACUGUCUCAACCGUGAGCUCGGUGAAAUUGUAGUCCCGGUGAUGAUGCCGGGUACCCGCAACGGGACGAAAAGACCCCGUGAACCUUUACUAUAGCUUAACGCUGAAUUUGGGUACACAAUGUGUAGGAUAGGCCGGAGGCUUUGAAGCGGGCACGCCAGUGUUCGUGGAGCCGACGUUGAAAUACGGCCCUUUGUGUAUUUGAGUUCUAACCCUGCGAAGGGGACACCGUUUGGUGGGUAGUUUGACUGGGGUGGUCGCCUCCAAAAGCGUAACGGAGGCUUCCCAAGGUACCCUCAGCACGAAUGGUAACCGUGCGCGGAGUGCAAUAGCAUAAGGGUGCUUGACUGUGAGACAUACAAGUCGACCAGGUACGAAAGUAGGGUAUAGUGAUCCGGUGGUUCUGCGUGGACUGGCCAUCGCUCAAAGGAUAAAAGGUACUCCGGGGAUAACAGGCUGAUCGCCGCCAAGAGCUCAUAUCGACGCGGCGGUUUGGCACCUCGAUGUCGGCUCGUCACAUCCUGGGGCUGGAGAAGG